GCCGGGAUAGCUCAGUCGGUAGAGCAACGGACUGAAAAUCCGUGUGUCCUUGGUUCAAAUCCUAGUCCCGGCACCA
rnacentral:tRNA from 1 species